rnacentral:rRNA from 1 species
CUGGCUCAGGAUGAACGCUAGCGAUAGGCCUAACACAUGCAAGUCGAGGGGCAGCACAUGAGUAGCAAUACGAUGGUGGCGACCGGCGCACGGGUGAGUAACACGUAUGCAACCUACCUUUAACAGGGGAAUAACCGUUGAAAAACGGACUAAUACUCCAUAACACAGGGGUCCCGCAUGGGAAUAUCUGUUAAAGAUUAAUCGGUUGAAGAUGGGCAUGCGUUCCAUUAGCUUGUUGGUGAGGUAACGGCUCACCAAGGCCACGAUGGAUAGGGGAACUGAGAGGUUUAUCCCCCACACUGGAACUGAGACACGGUCCAGACUCCUACGGGAGGCAGCAGUGAGGAAUAUUGGUCAAUGGAGGCAACUCUGAACCAGCCAAGUCGCGUGAAGGAUGAAGGUCUUAUGGAUUGUAAACUUCUUUUGCAAGGGAAUAAAGUGGGGGACGUGUCCUCCUUUGCAUGUACCUUGCGAAUAAGGAUCGGCUAACUCCGUGCCAGCCGCCGC